rnacentral:rRNA from 1 species
UACGAAGGGGGCUAGCGUUGCUCGGAAUUACUGGGCGUAAAGCGCACGUAGGCGGCCUGGUAGGUCUGCUGUGAAAACUCGAGGCUCAACCUCGAGAUGUCGGCGGAAACCAUCUGGCUAGAGUCCGGAAGAGGGGAGUGGAAUUCCUGGUGUAGCGGUGAAAUGCGUUGAGAUCGGAAGGAACGCCCGUGGCGAAAGCGAGCUCCUGGACGUUUACUGACGCUGAGGACGCGAAAAGCCAGGGGGAGCGAAUGGG